rnacentral:snRNA from 1 species
AGCUUUGCGCAGUGGCAGUAUUGUAGCCAAUGAGGUUUAUCCGAGGCGUGAUUAUUGCUAAUUGAAAACAAACAAACAAACAAAAAGAGUCUCAAACUCAAGGCUCAAGAAUGUGAGACAAAGACAUGUCA